GGGCGUAUGGCUCAGUGGUAGAGCGUAAGUGAUUACUUUGCAUAAACUCCUUGCGCAACAAUUGCUAACUUUCUUAGGCCCGCUUUGCAACCGUUUUCGGUUAUAAACUGCGGGAGGUCCGGGUUUCGAUCACCCGUCCGUCCA